rnacentral:rRNA from 1 species
ACGUGAGUAACCUGCCCCUGACUUCGGGAUAACCACGAGAAAUCGUGGCUAAUACCGGAUAUGACACGUGCCUGCAUGGGUGUGUGUGGAAAGAUUUAUCGGUUGGGGAUGGGCUCGCGGCCUAUCAGCUUGUUGGUGGGGUGAUGGCCUACCAAGGCGACGACGGGUAGCCGGCCUGAGAGGGUGACCGGCCACACUGGGACUGAGACACGGCCCAGACUCCUACGGGAGGCAGCAGUGGGGAAUAUUGCACAAUGGGCGCAAGCCUGAUGCAGCGACGCCGCGUGAGGGAUGACGGCCUUCGGGUUGUAAACCUCUUUCAGUAGGGAAGAAGCUCUUCGGAGUGACGGUACCUGCAGAAGAAGCGCCGGCUAACUACGUGCCAGCAGCCGCGGUAAUACGUAGGGCGCAAGCGUUGUCCGGAAUUAUUGGGCGUAAAGAGCUCGUAGGCGGUUUGUCGCGUCUGCUGUGAAAACGCAAGGCUUAACCUUGCGCCUGCAGUGGGUACGGGCAGACUAGAGUGCGGUAGGGGAGACUGGAAUUCCUGGUGUAGCGGUGGAAUGCGCAGAUAUCAGGAGGAACACCGAUGGCGAAGGCAGGUCUCUGGGCCGUUACUGACGCUGAGGAGCGAAAGCAUGGGGAGCGAACAGGAUUAGAUACCCUGGUAGUCCAUGCCGUAAACGUUGGGCACUAGGUGUGGGAUCCAUUCCACGGGUUCCGUGCCGCAGCUAACGCAUUAAGUGCCCCGCC